GACAGAGGUGCCGAGCGUUAGGCGGAAUCAUUGGGCGUAAAGCGCGUGUAGGCGGCUCGAUAAGUCUGCUGUGAAAGUCCAGGGCUCAACCCUGGAAUGCCGGUGGAAACUGUCGAGCUAGAGUCCGGAAGAGGCGAGUGGAAUUCCUGGUGUAGCGGUGAAAUGCGCAGAUAUCAGGAGGAACACCAAUGGCGAAGGCAGCUCGCUGGGACGGUACUGACGCUGAGACGCGAAAGCGUGGGGAGCAAACAGG
rnacentral:rRNA from 1 species